GCAGGGCACUGCACGCCGGGCUUAGGGCAGCUAUCUGCAAGCCUGCGGAGCCCGGCGGGAGUUCCCGUCGGGCUCCGUAGGCUUGCGGAUAGGUGCUUGCAACCUGAAGCCUGGGGAGCGCGGCACUGC